rnacentral:rRNA from 1 species
AACGAACGCUGGCGGCGCGCCUAACACAUGCAAGUCGAACGAGAGACUCUUCGGAGUAGUAAAGUGGCAAACGGGUGAGGAAUACAUGGGUAACCUACCCUUGAGAAGGGAAUAACCCGCCGAAAGGUGAGCUAAUACCCUAUACGCUACCUUCCCCAUGGGGGCGGUAGGAAAGCUAAGCCGUGGGCUUGGCACUCAAGGACGGGCUCAUGUCCUAUCAGCUUGUUGGUAGGGUAACGGCCUACCAAGGCAACGACGGGUAGCUGGUCUGAGAGGAUGAUCAGCCACACUGGCACUGAGACACGGGCCAGACUCCUACGGGAGGCAGCAGUGAGGAAUAUUGCGCAAUGGGCGAAAGCCUGACGCAGCGACGCCGCGUGGGGGAUGAAGGUUCUCGGAUUGUAAACCCCUUUCGUGAGGAAAGAGAAAGUGGGCAACCACUUAGACGGUACCUCAAGAAGAAGCCACGGCUAACUUCGUG